rnacentral:rRNA from 1 species
UACGAAGGGGGCUAGCGUUGUUCGGAAUUACUGGGCGUAAAGGGCGUGUAGGCGGCUUAGCAAGUCAGAUGUGAAAUCCCGGGGCUUAACUCCGGAACUGCAUUUGAAACUGCUAGGCUUGAGUGCAGUAGAGGCUAGCGGAAUUCCCAGUGUAGAGGUGAAAUUCGUAGAUAUUGGGAAGAACACCAGUGGCGAAGGCGGCUAGCUGGGCUGCAACUGACGCUAAAGCGCGAAAGCGUGGGGAUCAAACAGG